rnacentral:rRNA from 1 species
GACGAACGCUGGCGGCGUGCUUAACACAUGCAAGUCGAGCGGAGCGGCGAACGGGUGAGUAACGCGCGCGUAACUGCCCCCCUCUCUGGGAUAACAGUUGGAAACGGCUGCCAAUACCGGAUAGUGGGGGAUGACUCGCGUCCUAUCAGCUUGUUGGUGGGGUAGUGGCCUACGAAGGCGACGACGGGGAGGCGGCCUGAGGGGGCGCCGGGCCACAUUGGGCUGAGAUACGGACCCGACUCCUACGGGAGGCAGCAGUGGGGAAUAUUGCACAAUGGGGGAAACCCUGAUGCAGCAGCGCCGCGUGCGGGAGGUCGGGCUUCGGGUUGUAAACCGCUUUCAGCGAUGACGCGGUAGUGGCAGAAGAAGCACCGGCUAACUACGUGCCAGCAGCCGCGGUAAUUC